rnacentral:rRNA from 1 species
GAUGAACGCUGGCGGCGUGCCUAAUACAUGCAAGUCGAGCGAACGGACGAGAAGCUUGCUUCUCUGAUGUUAGCGGCGGACGGGUGAGUAACACGUGGAUAACCUACCUAUAAGACUGGGAUAACUUCGGGAAACCGUAGCUAAUACCGGAUAAUAUUUUGAACCGCAUGGUUCAAAAGUGAAAGACGGUCUUGCUGUCACUUAUAGAUGGAUCCGCGCUGCAUUAGCUAGUUGGUAAGGUAACGGCUUACCAAGGCAACGAUGCAUAGCCGACCUGAGAGGGUGAUCGGCCACCCUGGAACUGGGACACGGUCCAGACUCCUACGGGAGGCAGCAGUAGGGAAUCUUCCGCAAUGGGCGAAAGCCUGACGGAGCAACGCCGCGUGAGUGAUGAAGGUCUUCGGAUCGUAAAACUCUGUUAUUAGGGAAGAACAUAUGUGUAAGUAACUGUGCACAUCUUGACGGUACCUAAUCAGAAAGCCACGGCUAACUACGUG